rnacentral:lncRNA from 1 species
UCGAUAGUGUGAUGAUAUCUCCGGCUCUUCCAACUCGAACUAAAGGAUAAACCUAUAAGAAAUGGAAAAGAGAACACGGAGUAAGCUUCAAUGCUUAGUAAGUUUUAAGCAAUGCAAACAAUUAAUUUACUUAUAGAUCAAUUAUUUCAAAUUUUCAAGAAAUCAUUCCUAGGUAAUUGCCAUUUUGGCCAAGUAUCCAUGAACAUAAUGUAUAUUUAGCAAAUUCAUCUCACUUGAAUCUGAACUCAAUUAAAACCAAAUAUUCAAUUCAGAAAUAAGAUCAUAAGAACUCGAAAAGCAUCUCAUUAACUAGUUUUAACCAUGUUUGCAACAAAAUCACAAAUUCACUACAAGCUGUCUUCCUGAGCAACAGUCACUAAAUUAUUUAUAACUGGAGCUAAGAAACUCCAAAUCAAGUGCCGUUAAUUUUCCCUGAAAAUAGACUCACAUAUCUUCCAUCCAUCAACUUUUAUAAUUUUUGGUUUGACCAAUCAAUACCAGAUUUUAAUUGAAGUUUCCCCUGUUUCACUAUUUGACUAUUCUGACCACACUUCACUACAAAUCAAUUUUCUCAUUAUACAGAAUUUGAAUUAUGUUAUCAUUUAUUUCAUUUGAAACUAGACUCAUUAAGGAGUCUAAGUAUAUAAAUUUUAUCUUAUAAUCAUCAUUGUACAAUUUACAAUGAUUUUCUAAAUAUAGAACAGGGAAUUUCAAGGUCAUUUUGACUCUAUCUUACGCCACUUCAAAUAUCUCAUUAUCUACAAUUAUUUUGCUUACAAGGUUUCUUUUAUAAGAAACUAGACUCAUUAAGCUUUAAUUACAUAAUUUAUUCACCUUCUAAUUCAAUUUCCACAAUUUAUGGUGAUUUUCCAAAAUCACGCUACUGUUGCUGUCCCAAGCAGAUUUAUUACAAUUUGCUCUUUCACACAUUCCUUGGAUUCAAAUUAUCUAAACAUGUAUAUCAUGUCAUUCAAGAUCGAACUCAAAUAACAUAGGCAUUAAAAUGCUUCACUAACAGCUUUAGUUUCAUUGAAACGAAUAAAAUACAAAAUCAUAUUCACAUUUAAUUUUCCACGAUCGUAAUCACCUAAAAAUAAAUCAUAUACUUCCACAAAUCUUUCCAUAAGGACCAAGUGUUUAUAUUUGAAUAUAAACAUAGAAUCACUUCACAUAACUUCACACAUUUACCAAAUAUAUCACGAUCACAUAUAUAGUCAUAACACUUAUUCACAGAUGCAUCACUUUAUAUACUUAUAAUUUAAUUCAAAUCAAAUCACAUACGAGUACAUGAUACGUACCUGGCCAACUUAAUAUGUAAUGCACUUUCAAUUUGUCAACUUAGUGUAGGAUCUUGUAAUUGUAUACUUUUAUCAAAUUCAUCGGCACUUGGCCUGCUAGGUAUAAAACCCGAAAUUAUGUUACCAGCACAAAGCCUGCGGGACUUUAGCCCGGAUACAUUUCCAGCACGAAGCCUGCGGGACUUUAGCCCGGAUACAUUUCCAGCACGAAGCCUGCGGGUCUUUAGCCCGGAUACAUUUCCAGUGCCUUUCUUAUUUAUUCACAUGUUAACACAUUUCACAUAACAUAUCACAUUAGCAAUUCAAUUGCUUCAUUCGAAUAUAAGCACAAAAUGUACACCUACCCUUUAACUUUCUGUUCAAUAAUCAUACACAAGGAACACAAAUGUCGGAAUCCUGUGUCAUGACAUAUGUAUCCUAACUAUUCCUAAGAUUCAUACAGGGCUUUCGAACGUCGUAACUCGGCCGAAUCGAAAGCUCGAACAUAGUUUUCAAACUCAUACACAUUCAGCAUUUACAAGUAUAAAUUCAUAUAUUAUAUACCAGCAUAUAUACUUAACAUUUAACUACAUUUAGGCUUGUGUAUUUGCUUAUAAACUUACCUCAGACGUCGUAAAACGGGACGGAGCUGCUAGUCGACAACUUUCAUUUUUCCCUAGUCCAAAUCCGAUUUCUUUGGUUCUUGAUCUUGGAUUUGAGCUUGGGAGUUGGCCGAACCUAAGCUUCCCUUAUUUCUUUUUCUUUUCUUUU